GACGAACGCUGGCGGCGUGCCUAAUACAUGCAAGUUGAGCGCUGAAGGUUGGUACUUGUACCAACUGGAUGAGCAGCGAACGGGUGAGUAACGCGUGGGGAAUCUGCCUUUGAGCGGGGGACAACAUUUGGAAACGAAUGCUAAUACCGCAUAAAAACUUUAAACACAAGUUUUAAGUUUGAAAGAUGCAAUUGCAUCACUCAAAGAUGAUCCCGCGUUGUAUUAGCUAGUUGGUGAGGUAAAGGCUCACCAAGGCGAUGAUACAUAGCCGACCUGAGAGGGUGAUCGGCCACAUUGGGACUGAGACACGGCCCAAACUCCUACGGGAGGCAGCAGUAGGGAAUCUUCGGCAAGGGACGAAAGUCUGACCGAGCAACGCCGCGUGAGUGAAGAAGGUUGUCGGAUCGUAAAACUCUGUUGGUAGAGAAGAACGUUGGUGAGAGUGGAAAGCUCAUCAAGUGACGGUAACUACACAGAAAGGGACGGCUAACUACGUG
rnacentral:rRNA from 1 species